AUUCCAGCUCCAAUAGCGUAUACUAAAGUUGUUGCAGUUAAAAAGCUCGUAGUUGAAUUUCUGGUCUCGGACAGCGGUCUGCCUCAAACGAGGUACGCACCACCUGUUCAGGUCCAUCCUCGGAGAAAACAUGCCUGUGAUUCAGUUCAUGGGUAUGGGAUCUUCGUCAUUUACUGUGAGCAAAAUAUAGUGUUCAAAGCAGGCUUAUGCCGUUGAAUACAUUAGCAUGGAAUAAUAAAAUAAGACCUUGGUCUAUUUUGUUGGUUUGUACUCCAAGGUAAUGAUUAAUAGGGAUAGUUGGGGGUAUUCGUAUUCAAUUGUCAGAGGUGAAAUUCUUGGAUUUAUGGAAGACGAACUACUGCGAAAGCAUUUACCAAGGAUGUUUUCAUUG
rnacentral:rRNA from 1 species